GUAGUAAUAGUUAUGUUCUUGAAACUUAAAAAAUUUGGCGGUAUUUUAGUCUAUUCAGAGGAACCUGUCCUGUAAUCGAUAAUCCACGUUGGACCUUACUUAAAUUUGUUUAUCAGUUUGUAUACCGUCGUUAUAAGAAUAUUUUAUUAGAAAAAUAAUUUUCUGGAAUUUUUAUAAAAAUUUAUAUCAGAUCAAGGUGCAGCUUAUAUUUAAGUAGAGAUGGGUUACAAUAAAUUUAUUUAAAUGAAUUAAUUUUUUGAAAUAAAAUUAUGAAGGUGGAUUUGAAUGUAAAAUUAUAAAGAUUAAUAAUUUGAUUUUAGCUCUAAAAUAUGUACACAUCGCCCGUCACUCUUAUUAUUAAGGUAAGAUAAGUCGUAACAUAGUAGAUGUACUGGAAAGUGUAUCUAGAAUGCAAUUUAAAGCUUAAAUAGUAAAGCAUUUCAUUUACAUUGAAAAGAUUUUUGUGCAAUUCAAUAUAAAUUGAGUAAAUUUUAUUUAUUAAUAAUUUUGUUUAUAAUUUUUUUAUAUUAGAAAUAACUUUAAUAUUUUAUGUUUUAGUAUUUUAUAAAGAAUAAAUAAUAUUAAUAAUAGUUUAAUAGUAUUGUGAAAGAAAAUUGAAAUAAUUUGAAAAA
rnacentral:rRNA from 1 species